GUGACGUGUCACGCUCUGAAAGAAAGAUUGGUUUCAUUUUAUUCAUAAUCUUUUCUUUUUCUCUCGCAAACGACGACAAUGCGAAACGGCGAGAGAUUUGUGUUCCCAUCACCGUCGUCUCCUCUGUCCGGCCAUUGAAACACGAAGGCGACCGAUCUCCGUGUUUCCUUUUAUGUUUAUCUUCGAUUUUGUCCGGUUCAAAUAAUGGAGUUUUCUCGCGAUUUCUUGUCGAAUAAUUGCGUUUCCCAUGGCCGGAAUCUGGAUUAUGUGCGUAUGUUUAGUCAGGGAUGAAAUCGGAAAACCCUAAAUUAGUAAUGUAGUAUAUUCUCUGGUUUGCUUAGCGAACUCUGUGAAGUUGUUAUGAUUUCGAUCAAUAGAUAGAAAGAAAAUAUAUAAAUUCAUGGUUGAGUUACAUUGGGGCAAACGUUUGAUGGUUUUGGACUUGUUAAGGGACUUUGUAGUUUACUAACGGUAAGCUCUUUGUGUUGGUUUUGUUUAAAUUGCCAGAGAUGUAUAAUAACAUGGGACCUCAGCCUGGGAUGCCAAUGCAUCAGGGAAUUCCUCAGCCUGGGAUGCCAAUGCAUCUGGCUAUUCCUCAGCCUAGCCCCUCUGAGUAUGUGCAGAGCAACAUAAGUCGUUACUUCUCCGAUCCCCAAUACUAUUUUCAAGUGAAUGACCAAUAUGUGAGGAACAAAUUGAAGAUUGUUCUAUUUCCAUUCCUUCACAGGGGACACUGGACUAGAAUUUUGGAACCUACGUUGUUCUUGCUGGUUUGUCACUAGGACUCUAUGGGAAUCAUGCUGCUGAAGAUAUCAUUGCUUUCACUGGGUAGCGGAGAAGCACCCCUCUUGGAUAUUGUGGCAUAUGCAGGCUAUACUUUCACGGGCCUUUGUCUAGCUGUUCUCUUUGCGGAAGCUAGGAGUUAUGACUCAAACAGGCAUCACUACCUCUUGAUCUUUGUAGUUUUAGCCCAGUUUCCUCUUCUGAUCUGGCUUGGUAACAUUAGUGUGAAUUGGCUCUUUUGAAAUGCAUUACGUUUACGUGGUUGGGAAAAACACCUCGGAGGUUAUGUAGCAGGAUUUGGAAUGUCCUCCUGAUGGAGAUAUGGUAGUUGAGGUUUUUUUUGAUGUAGACUUCUCUGUAUGUCAAACAUCAAUAUGGUGAAAGAAAAAGUUUUAUCUCUUUUUUA